rnacentral:rRNA from 1 species
UUGAUUGAUAAAUCUGUUAGAUUAGUUUUUAGGUUUAUUUGCCUUUUGCAUCAUGCUUAAUGGAUUUUUUUAGUGUAUUCUUUUUAUCGAAAAGCUUGGAUCUCAAAAUAUAGCUGUUUGGAACUUAUUUUGUCUGGGUUAGUGAAGGUUAAAUAGAUUUAUUUUGUGAGGUGAAAUAUUAAUCGGCAAGCUUUAUAUCUAUUUUAUCACUGAUGAUUUCUGAUAACAUAUUAAAUUUAAGAUUUGGUAUGAGUUUAUACUUUAUUUUUAUUAUGUUGAUAAAAGGGUUAAGGGUACUCAUUUAUUAUAAAAUUGUUAAAAAUUUUGUUAUUGGGGGUUGAAGUUAAUUUACAGUAUGUGAUUUAAUUUUUAACUGUUAGUUAAAAAGAUCAUUAAAUAAGUAAUAAUAAUAUGGUGAUUAUUUCUCGGGAAUCAUCCGUCUGUUUAUUAAAAACAUUUCCAAUUGUAAAUAUAAUUGGUAGUACCUGCCCGGUGUAAUAUAAACGGCCGCAGUAAUUUGACUGUGCAAAGGUAGCAUAAUUAAUUGUCCUAUAAUUGAGGGCUUGUUUGAAUGGUUUGACGAGAUGGAGUUCUUAUAUUCAUUAUAUGUUUGAAAUUGAUGUUAUGAAUGCAGAAUUUAUAUAUGUUUAAUAAGACGGAAAGACCCCGGGAGCUUUUGUAUUUGCUUGGGGCAAGAUUUAAUAUUUUAUUAAGGUUUGGACCCUGCACAUGUGAUUGGUUUAACGAGUUAAGUUGCCCCGGGGAUAACAGGGUAAUAAUUAAUGAGAGAUCGUAUCGAGUUAAUUGUUUGCCACCUCGAUGUUGACUUGGAUUAAUAUUAUGGCGCAGCUGUCUAUAUAUGGGGUCUGUUCGACCAUAGUAAUCUUCAUGAGUUGAGUUUAGACCGGUGUAAGCCAGGUCGGUUCUUAUCUAUU